GAACUUUAUUCUGUUCAUUGGGAAUGUGGGUUUUAUUGAUGAGGGAGUGAUAAACUAUUGGAGAAUUCUCAAUUGUGGCGUCAUGUCUUCUGAGUUAUACUUUUACAGGAAUGAUUCUGGUUGCUCUGAAGGAACAGAUAGAUGUGGGGAGACAAGAAUAAAAGCAAGGAGGCUUGUAACUGGCUGUUUUCAUACUAGAGGAACUUCAGGACUGAAUCCUGCAGUAGAAGCAAGAACAGGCUAUUGGGAGACU
rnacentral:lncRNA from 1 species